CCUACGGGAGGCUGCAGUGGGGAAUAUUGCGCAAUGGGCGAAAGCCUGACGCAGCGACGCCGCGUGAGGGAUGAAGGUCCUCGGAUCGUUAACCUCUGUCAGCAGGGAAGAACGGUCACUGUGCUAAUCAGCAGUGAAUUGACGGUACCUGCAAAGGAAGCACCGGCUAACUCCGUGCCAGCAGCCGCGGUAAUACGGAGGGUGCGAGCGUUAAUCGGAAUUUCUGGGCGUGAAGCGCUCGUAGGCGGUAUGUCAAGUCAAGGGUGAAAUCCCCGCGCUCAACGUGGGAACUGCCUUUGAAACUGGCAAACUGGAGUGUGUGAGAGGAUAGUGGAAUUCCAGGUGUAGGAGUGAAAUGCGUAGAUAUCUGGAAGAACAUCAGUGGCGAAGGCGACUAUCUGGCACAUAACUGACGCUGAGGAGCGAAAGCGUGGGUAGCAAACAGGAUUAGAUACCCUAGUAGUC
rnacentral:rRNA from 1 species